rnacentral:rRNA from 1 species
UACGGAGGGGGCUAGCGUUGCUCGGAAUUACUGGGCGUAAAGCGCGCGCAGGCGGUUCUCCAAGUCAGUGGUGAAAGCCCGGAGCUCAACUCCGGAACUGCCAUUGAAACUGUUGAACUUGAGGACGAGAGAGGUGAGUGGAAUUCCCAGUGUAGAGGUGAAAUUCGUAGAUAUUGGGAAGAACACCGGUGGCGAAGGCGGCUCACUGGCUCGUUUCUGACGCUCAGGCGCGACAGCGUGGGGAUCAAACAGG